AACGAACGCUGGCUGCGUGCCUAACACAUGCAAGUCGAGCGCGAAAGGAGCAAUCCGAGUAGAGCGGCGCACGGGUGCGUAACACGCGGAUAAUCUACCCUUUAAUUCGGGAUAACCAUUCGAAAGUUUGGCUAAUACCGGGUAAGCUCACGGGGGCCUUGGCCCCUGAGGGAAAAGCAGAACUCUAUUUAUAAGUUUGCGUUUGAGGAUGAGUCCGCGGCCCAUCAGCUAGUUGGCGGGGUAAUGGCCCACCAAGUCAACGACGGGUAGCUGGUCUAAGAGGACGAUCAGCCACACUGGAAAUGGGACACGGUCCAGACUCCUACGGGAGGCAGCAGUGGGGAAUUUUCCACAAUGAGCGAAAGCCUGAUGGAGCAACGCCGCGUGUGUGAUGAAGGUCUUCGGAUCGUAAAGCACUUUCGACCGGGACGAAAAACCCCUGGCUAACAUCCAGGGGCCUGACGGUACCGGGAGAAGAAGCACCGGCUAACUCUGUGCCAGCAGCCGCCGUAAUAC
rnacentral:rRNA from 1 species